AUGCGUGUGGCAGGCGCUGGGUACCCAGGACUAGUCCAUCUUCCCAAAGCCCUGGGUGGAGGAAAACACGCCCCAACUUUACAGAAACAUUGUAUCAAGUCCUGGGUAAUGUCUAUGGGCCAGGUGGGCCGGGGCCAGUCUCUCCCCUCGGAAAGGGGAAUGUCCUGAUGGACCGGCCUGAGUGUCCUGAUGGCUUCAGGUGGUGAGAUCAUGUCACUUGGAUAAAGGGGGAGGAAAACACAGAGAAGGAUCCAUGUCUUCUGGUACCUAAGAUGGAGCUCCUAGAUGGAAAACAGACAUUGCCUACAACUGUAGGCAGGGGAGUGGACCCAUGCAGGAUGUCAGGGUUUCCCUCUCUGUCUGGGACAUUUUCCUGUGCCCAGCAGUGCCUGGGAGUCAGCCUGUGACCUCCAUUCCUGUGGCUGGGACCGCGCCUCUGGCAUCAGGAUGCAGCUGGUCCAGCUUCCAGCUUUGGAAAACAGAGGAUCUGCUGUGGGAAGCCAUGGAGAAGGUCUUCACCUACAGAGCCACCAUCUAAUCCCCCAUAUAGGCCUCUCUGCGCUCCCAGUCACGAUGGCCACCAUCAAGCAAAACCAAGCCUGCCACUGUAAAGCCAAAGACUCCCCCACUGGGGACCAGCCGGAGCCCCUCCCCUUUCCCCCCGGCCCCAGGCUACAUCUAGCCCACGGGCCCUCACUCCAUUCUCAGCUCUUUCAUGGCUUGGAUGCCCAAGAGUCUGAGAACCUGAUGACCCUGGUCUUCUUGCUGGCCUGGGGACCCCCAAGCCAGCCCAGGCUGUUCUGCACCUCAGACUGUGCUUCCCCACCCCCAGAGCGCUGUCCCGAGGCUGUCCUAUAGCCUGACACCCGCCUGGGCAGCAACAGCGUGGGGUAAGUGCAGUCAACUUCCUGUGUCCUGCCUCCCUGAGCAGCGGUGCCCAUGGCAGAUGGGAUGUGGGACCCCGCCCAACCCUACACUCCACCACACUGGGCUUCAGCUCUGAGUCCUCACUUCAUUCCUUCAGUGAGGGCUGGAGUUGGGCAGCACAGGGAAAGAGGACAGAGAGAAUCUUUUGGGGUGACAGGUUGGGGACCUCCCCUGGGUGACACUCAUCUCCUGACUGACUUUUGGGGUCUAGCCUCAGUCACUUGGCUCCAAUCCUCAUUCCUCUGAGUUCCCCAGCUCCAGUCCUCCCUGGGGCCCUCCUGAGCUUGGCUGGGAGCCUCCUUGAGUGGUGUAUGCUGGUGAGUCCUCACCCCGGGUUUCUGUCUACAUGGUGGGGAUAAGGACCCACAAGUGUCAGGAAGCCACUCACAGGGGAUGUGGGAUGGAUGACAGAUCUGCCAACAGUGGUCCAUGGGGCUUCUGAUGGUACAAACUCAGGGAUGAGCCUGUCCCAUGAAUUUCCUACAAAAGCUAUGCAUAAGUGUCAUUUUGGGGAUCCCUGGUGUGGAUUAGCUGUGUUCUUCCACCCCCAAUCUUGACCUUUGUAAUCUGAAAGUAGCUUUCCUUACCAGACAGUUUCUGCUGGUGAGAUCCAGUUUAGAGGACGUCACUGCAGGCUACGACAAAGGGCUGGAACCUUGGCACCCAUUCUGGGAUAGCGAGGCUCUGAAGAGGGAGGUGCAUGUGGAGGAUGCCUAAGGUAUGAGAGGGAAGGAACACAGUGCCCUCGGAUGCACCUCUUCUAGCCUGUUUUUUUGUUUUUGUUUUUAAGUUGCUGUGACUUCCUUCUCCUUUUCCUCUUGCUCCUCCUUCCCUCCUCCUCUCAUAUGGCCCAGGUUGACCCUGAGGUUACUAUGUAACUCAGGCUGGCCUUUAACUCUAGAUGACUCCUGUCUCAGUCCCUUAAGUGCUCGUGAAUGACUACGCGAGGUAAGCUGGCAUUUAAACAGAGGAUACGGCGGUUCAGAGGUAGAUAUGACGACUAUAUGAAGACUAGAUCACCGGAGUGGGUAAGAACUUGUGUGGGGAAAGCCGCAGCAGGGAAGGGUGAUUCCAUUGUCUCUAGUAGCCAGCAGCAGCUGACCCCAGUGUAGGCAGAGCGUGCCCUGGGUGCAACUGGAGAGGGAUUCAUGGACAGCGAUGGAGCCACCCUGGGGCUUCCAGGAGUAUGGAUGGGGUGGAUGAGGGUCUUGCCACUGUUCUGAGUCCUUGACACGGCAUGGGAUAGUGACAGGAAGACAGGACCCAAGUGCUAUCUGUACAAGUGUCUGACAGGCAAGUGCUGAGGCCCAAGGUGCUACAUGGAAAGUCAGGGUGCUCCACUGGCAGACAUCCCAAGGUGCUCCACUGAAAUUCCAAGGUGCUCCACUGAAAUCCUAAGGUGCUCUAUGGAAAGGUCAGUGCCCGCUUGCAAGUUGGGGAAGAAGCAUCCUCAGCAGAGUCUUCUAUUGAGCAUAUGACCUUGCCCUACCUGUUGUGUGGUCUGAACCAGCUCCUGCCCUCUCUGGGCCUGGUGAGGGGGAGGUGCCAUGCUCUCCUAUGAAGAACGCAGUGUGGCAGUGGGAAGAAUUAUUUUUCUGCGUUUCUAAGCUCUUUUAUGUGCCUCUUCUUUCAGUCACAGACGCCAGGGUCUCAGGGAGGACCAGAACUGGGGAUCUGAGGACAAAAGGGAAGGCUUGAUGUUAGCUUCUGAGUGAACGUGCUGCUGCUGUUGCUAGCCCACUGAUAAUGGCCCGGAGAACCGGCAGGGGAGGGGCUCCCAAGUCUAGACAUGUUCUUUGCACAUCAAGAGCCAGAUUACAGGAUUGUGGACAGGAUGAGGAGAGCAGGGAGAGGACACAGAGGCCACCAUACUGGGAGUGAGAGGGACAGGGAAGACACUCAGGGAUCCUGUGGUCCUGGGUGGGGAGGGUCUGGGUCAGUCUCUGCUUCUCAUGAUGUGGAAGGGGAGGCAGGCUUUGAUGGCCCCUGGAGGUGCUCAGCUGCCUCAGCCCAUACCCGUUAGGACACUUUCUCAUCUGUGAAGUUCUCCUGGAACCAGUGCAGGAUUUGUGGGGUUCAAGGAGCCGGUGCCAACUGUGGUGCCAGUUGCAAGAGGCAGGGAGAGGAGCCACAGGUAGAGCAAGUGUUACCUGGGGCACUGGGUAGGGGGUGUGGCCCAAUCUGCAUGCCCACCCUGCUGGUUCCUUCAGGAAGCCACAUCAGCUCCUGUCUCCAUCCGGGAAGCCAUGGUGAGAAAAGGACUAUUUUUUUUUUUUCUUGUGUGGGGCUAGGGUUGGAACCACAGGCCUGCCUGAUAGGCCCUCUACCACCAAGCUUUUAAAAUGGUUUCUCUUCAGUUUCCCUUUGCAGUGUUUGUUGGAAUCCAGGUCCUCACAAAUGCUAAACAAACCCUCAAGCACUGAGCCACACCCCUGCCAUUUGGGGACAAAGUAUAAAGGCAUUCCAGAAGCACCAUGGCAGGGUGACUGGUGACAGUGGUCAGAAAGCUAUGAUCUACUUGGAAACCCUCCCACCAUGUGACAGUAUCUGCAGUGAUUAUAAAGAGGGCGGACAGACCUGUGUGCUGGCUCUCCUGCGCUCCGGGCUUUGUAGCUAUUGCUGUUCCUGCGGUGCAUGGGGAGGUGAGAAGAAAAGCCUCAAAGGCAAGGAAGAGUUGUGCCUGCAGCUCACUCUGGGACACUGGGAGAGGAAAGAGGGUAGUUGUCCCACAAUGACCUUUGUUAUGAGGCAUCUCGGCAGAGCUGCCUGGAGUUGGACUGGUCCCACCUCUGAUUGGGUCUCAGUCUUGCAGGUAUAAAGAGGAACCACACAGGAAUGCUGAGUUCUUCUGCCCUCAGACAGCAGGAUGAGGCCCUCUCCUGCUCUGACUGACUUGCUGGUCACUUCCACUGAAAGGAGAUAAUUUCCCAGGAGAGGGAAAGGUUUUCUGGCACAUGGUGCCUGCCUGCGGCUUCAAGGACUUUCACUUAUGUGGUGGAGUCCCCUAUAUGGUCACUAGUGAGGCUUUAAGCCAUCCUCCCAACAGGGGUUGACAGGUAUCAUUUUUGGGAAAGACCCACCUUUAGGGAUAGUGUCUCUCUUUCCACAUGUGCCUAUCCCAGGUGAUUUGCAAAGGUGGACAUCAUUUUUUUUAAGACAUAGCUUUUUAUUGGUCUAAUUUACAUGCCAAGAGACCGGCUUGGGCAACUUUCUCCAUGUGCCCUCUGUUGAGAGCUCCUGGCUUGCCCCAGGAAAGAAGAGUGUCCUGGUCAGGGGUUGACAGACAUUCAGUUGGGACCUGAAGGGGCUCAGGGUGAUGGAGAGAUGGGGCCUCAGGGCAGAAGGAGAGCAGUGCCCUGAACAGCCCAUGCCUUGACAGGAUGGGAGGGAUUAGAAGGGAAGAACUUUCCCAGCAGCUCCUACUGUGCCCUUCAAGCCAUCAGCAGGUGGACAUCAUUCUUGACUGAUGCUAGUGUUCCUAUACUCUGGGAUGGAACCUCCAGCAGAGUCAAUAAGAUGAGGAGAUAAAGUUCGUGAUCUGCCCAAGGCCACGUGGCUAGCAAUUCUCAGACCAGUUCUGACCGUAUCUCCAGAGAACUUUAAACCAUGAGGGAAGGGAGAUCUAGAACUUAGAAAGCUCCAGAGCCAAGGAUAAAUGGAUGGCAUCAUUGCCACCUCCUAGUGGCCAUGUAUCCACAGUACCAUGAGGGUCACUCGAGCAGCAGGGCAAUCCUCGGAGAGUGACAGACAGUUGUUCAUGUGUCAGGUUCAGUUUUAUGUAGUACUGAUAGAGAUGCCCAGUUUCAAGGGCUGCCUUGUCUGCUGGGGUAGAAUCUGGAAGGGUGGUAGGGGGUGUACUGGGAUUGUGGAAUUAGAGGGGUAUUUCUGGGGUCUGGGUCAGAUAGAAAUCUAGAAAUUUCCUGGUGUCUUUGGUGCUUGUGUGUGUGUGGGAGAGCCAAGAGGAGUGGUGACUAUGGGAGGAGCAGCCUGUGCCAUGGCCCUGCAGUGAGGGAGCUUGGCUCAAAGAAUAUUGAGUAUCACAGAAGGCUAAGGUGAGGGUGGGGACUGGAUCCUGGGUAAGAGAUGGAGGAGGCCACAGGGGUGGUGAGAUGGGAGCUAGGGUGCUCCUCAGGGCAGAACUAGGGCUAGAAUGUGUGAUCCCCAGCUAGGAGGUCUCUGGCAUGAAUGAGAUGGGAAGCUGUGGCUCCUGGCUAGCUUGGCUCAACAACUAAUGCUCACUUUAGAGGCUCAGGGCUGCAACAUGCCCUCCAGGUCUGGGCAGGGAAGAGAGGGAAGCCCUCCGUUUUACACUCCUUCCCUAACCUCGAGGCCAUGCCAGGAACCCGGCCUGGAGGUACCCCUGCCUGACAGAAUAGAGAGCUGGGCCCACAGUACCUCAACCUGAACUAGUUUAAAGCACCCAGGAACUCUAGGUGUGGUGCUACACAUCUGUAGUUGCAGCUUCUGGGGAGGCAGAGCUGGUGGAUCGGAGUUCGAGGCCAGCCUGGCAACUCUGUGAACUCCUGUCCCAAAAGGAAAAGUAACAUCACGGCAGAGAAAGCUGAGGUAGACCAGUUAUCUAGCAUGCCUGAGACCCUGGGCUCCAUCUUCUAUGUCAAGCACAUGGAUGCACACACAGGCACAGGCAUAUGAUGUAUACACAGGCAUGCACACAGCACACACAGACACACAGACUGAGUGAGGGCUGGGUAGAGAAACCCCCUUGCAGGAGGCUGUCUUUCACACAUCAGCAUCUCCCUGCUCAUGGCAUUGUGGGUCCCAUCCUGUAGGUGAGAAGGCUCCUCAAGAGUCUGGGGGCAGGUGGUGGAGAAACAGCUCUGAGUCCCUGUGUGUUUGCAUGCUGAGCCUCCCUGGCAGGGCGAAACCUGCCCUAAAGGAGGAGUGUGCACCAGAUCUGACAGCAGAUGACAGAGGUUAAAGCAAAUACUAUCCUGGUGGCCAAGCCUAGGUCUCAUGAGGCAGGAAGCCACAUGAAGGCUGGGAAGAAAGCCUUGGGAAGGCUCAGCCUGCUGCCUGGUCUGCCCUGGGGAGCAUCCUUUGGAAGGAGGAGAGAUCCCAUUGGUCUUCUCAUGCACAACACAUUCUUCCCCAGCCAACCAGCCCUAGGCUCUCUGCACAUUCAUACAUCACUACAUCUCAUCUCAACUCCCAUGAAAAUGUUUCCACUCCUCGACUGCUUCAUCCUUCUUUCCCUCUCUCCCUUCCUGCCCUCCCUCCAUUGCUCCAGCCCUUCCUCCAUCCAUCCACGUAUCCAUCUACGUACUCCAUCACACAUCCCCAUUCCAGCAUCUGUCCCCAUUCCUCUAUCCCUCCCGUUUCCCUUCCUCCAUCCAUCCAUUUAUCACAUCCAUCCCUUCACUUCCAGCAUUCUUUUAUCUCUCCUGCUUCUUUCCCUCCCUCCCAACAUCUUCCCCACCCUCCUCCUCUUUCUCUCU
rnacentral:sRNA from 1 species